rnacentral:rRNA from 1 species
ACCACGGAGCCUGAGCACAAGGUGGAGGGUGGACUCCUUUUGGAUGUUGUAGUCCGCAAGGGUGCGGCCAUCCUCAAGCUGCUUACCGGCAAAGAUAAGACGCUGCUGGUCCGGGGGGAUGCCCUCCUUGUCCUGGAUCUUCGCCUUCACAUUGUCGAUGGUGUCAGAGGACUCGACCUCCAGGGUGAUGGUCUUGCCGGUCAGGGUCUUGACGAAGAUCUGCAUGCAGAAACGGAGCCUGAGCACCAGGUGGAGUGUGGACUCCUUCUGGAUGUUGUAGUCAGCCAGGGUCCGGCCAUCCUCAAGCUGCUUGCCGGCAAAGAUGAGACGCUGCUGGUCCGGAGGGAUGCCCUCCUUGUCCUGGAUCUUGGCCUUCACGUUGUCAAUGGUGUCAAAGGACUCGACCUCCAGGGUGAUGGUCUUGCCGGUCAGGGUCUUGACGAAGAUCUGCAUGCCGCCACGGAGCCUCAGCACCAGGUGGAGUGUGGACUCCUUCUGGAUGUUGUAGUCGGCCAAGGUCCGGCCAUCCUCAAGCUGCUUGCCGGCAAAGAUGAGACGCUGCUGAUCCGGAGGGAUGCCCUCCUUGUCCUGGAUCUUGGCCUUGACGUUGUCGAUGGUGUCUGA